CCCACUAGGCCUCACCUCUAAAAUGUUUUUAAGCCACAAUAAACCUUACUUAGAUUUAACUCCACAAGGGCAGAUAGUUCAAUCUAAAGACAGGCAGAGCACUGUUAAGCAGGGAAAUACCAGUUUUUAGAGACUAAAUAUGCCCAGUCACAGAAGAGCACAGAAGCUGAGAGUCAGCGAAGACAACUGAAUAAAAAACAAGACUAUCUAGAUAACUAUAAGAUGUCUGAAUCAGGGACUCAGGGUAACUGAUACUGAUUACAGUACAACAGUUUAGAAUGAGUUAGUAAAAGAGAGUGUAGUAAAACAGGCUUUUGAACUAGAAGAUAGGUCAAUUGAGCUCAAAGAUACUGAUCACAACAGAACUUAGCUUAGAGAUGGUCUACAAGAACACUGAGAACCAGAAACAACAGAUAGAGCACAGUUAAGUAGACAAUGGCAAUAUCAUAAAAGUAAAUAUACUCAGUUAAUCCAGCAGGCUAUGAGUAGAAUCCCAGAAGUCCAAAUGCACACACACACACACAAACACACACACACACACACACAAACACAGACACACACACAUUUUCGCCUGUGAGUAACUUUCAUUCUCCAUGAGUUACUUCCUCUUACUAAUCAUCCCAAACACCAGGCCACAUCAGCUUCCUGCGCUCUAACCACACACAGUCUCCAUUAAUGGAACGCUCACCGUUUGGAAUGAACAGUAUGUUCACUUUCUAUUUAUACUCUCAGAGUCUGCGCAGGCAUAAAAGCAGCACCACGUGUUACCCAAAUAUUUUUGAUCGAGUCUACUGGAAUGUGAACAUGCCACUGAGCACAAUCCAGUGAAUUAUGACGGUUUUUUUUAGCCUUUGUGCCCCCCCCCGAAAACAGUCAUAGUUAGACUGUUUGAGCGACUACUUUACUUCUUGUCACCACAACGAAGUUAUUUCUAAGUCUCCUGGGAAGAGAUGAUGAGAUGGAGAGAUGGAAGGAUGAAGAGAUGAAGAGAUGAAAGGAUGAAGAGAUGAAGAGAUGAAAGGAUGUAAGAUGGUGUCUCGGGCCUCCUCCUCUGUUGAGAGAUGUUUUUCCAACAUCUUUUGCUUGGAACUGGGGAGAGGAAGUGGCCGAUGGUCUUGUCACAGAAGGGGUGCUCCUCAAGAAAAGUGCAGCCUGGGAAAUAUGACCGAUGCCUUAAAAAGCCCCUAAAAAUAGCUUUCUGAGAUUCAGUCCACACAGUUUUUCCAUGACAGCCUUGCACAUUUGAGUAAGGGCGGCCUGGGCUGGGCUGGGUUAACACAUGCCCUAGAACCAGCUCGAAGGUUAAACAGGAUCUGUGCACCACUUAUUAGAAAUAACCCCCUGUUUUGUCUCUCUCUCUCUCUCUGUUAUUGUUUAAAACGCUUUCACUUUACCAGAAGUGUGCAAGCGUGCGCGGAAGAAUGUGCUCAGGGUCAAGCCUUGACUUGUUGGCAACCCUAAAUCACAGAACCAUCGGCAGUUUACAGGGGAUGGUGGAAAACACAGCAGAGGAAAGUUGACUGAGGUUAAAGGGGCAUGUUUGUCACAGUACUGUGUGAGCAGUGAAUCACUGCAGAGAGUUGUGUGUAAGGUUUUUCUGUAUGAAGGUUUGGCAAGAAGUGGCCUCACAUAUAAAGAUGGGGUCGCGGUGGACUGGAGCCAAUCCCAGCUGACGUUGUGGGAGAGGCGGGGUUCACUCUGGACAGGUCACCAGAGUCUCCAGUUAACCAAGCAGUACCUGGGGAGAACCCAUGCAUACAUGUUUAUUUAAAAUAUUUAAAGUAAGAUAGGCUACUAAGCACUUCGAACUGUCCUUCAUUCACCACCGGUCAGGCUGCACCAGUGCAGCAGCUAGCUGCAAGACAAAGAUCGAGAUCUGUAAAAAUACUGUCUGGAACAAUUCACCAGUGCUUUGAUUCUGGUAGGAGCAUUUCCUUACCAUCCAUACCUAAAUCUAUGCAUAUGUUGUGUAUCUAUGCAUAUGAUCCUCCAAUAAAAUUCCAAACAAGU